rnacentral:rRNA from 1 species
CUAAGAAUAUUCCGCAAUGGACGGAAGUCUGACGGAGCGACGCCGCGUGGAUGACGAAGGCCGAAAGGUUGUAAAGUUCUUUUGCUGGGGAAGAAUAACCGCAGGAGGGAAUGCCUGUGGGAUGACAAGAACCGGCGAAUAAGCCCCGGCCAACUACGUGCCAGCAGCCGCGGUAACACGUAGGGGGCGAGCGUUGUUCGGAAUUACUGGGCGUAAAGGGCAUGUAGGCGGCUUGGAAAGCCUGGCGUGAAAGUCUGCAGCUUAACUGCAGGGGUGCGCUGGGAACUGCUGAGCUUGAGUGACGGAGAGGGAGCUGGAAUUCCUGGUGUAGGGGUGAAAUCUGUAGAUAUCAGGAAGAACACCGAUGGCGAAGGCAAGCUCCUGGCCGAUGACUGACGCUGAGGUGCGAAAAGUGUGGGGAUCAAACAGGAUUAGAUACCCUGGUAGUCCACACAGUCAACGAUGUGCACUAGGUGCUGGGGCGGUAGCUUCGGUGCCGGAGCGAACGUGGUAAGUGCACCGCCUGGGGAGUAUGCUCGCAAGGGUGAAACUCAAAUGAAUUGACGGGGUCAUAGCUGUUUCC